UAAAAUAGUAUGUUUCGGUCUGCAUGGGAGGUGAAGAAGUAAAGUCAUCCAGUGUUCAUUAUCAUUUCAAGAACUUUCCCUCGAAGAAUGAUGUGUUCCAAGCUAUUGCUUUCUGAGGAAGGGACGAUACAGAGAAACACAAGCAAAGGUCACCACAAAGAGGAGUGCUAUGGAGCAGAGGAGACGGAGUAUGCAGGCUAAAGAAGAAAAGAACCAAGACUACUCUAGUUUUGAAUCACUUAUUGUUGGAAGUCAUUCAGCAAGUGGACGGACUGUUUGUGUUAUCCCUGUGUCCACUGCAUCUCUCUUAUUUUUACAGGGGCACCCUGCAUCUCUUCAGAUUUCAGGAUAACUGUCCUGUACCUUAAUCUCUUUUGUGUUGCCAUAACAGAAUGCCAGAGACUGGGAAAUUUAUAAAGAAAAGAAGUUUCUUAUAGUUCUAGAGGUUGGAAAGUCCAAGAUCAAGGUGCCAGCAUCUGGUAAGGGGUCUUCUUGCUAUGUCAUCCCAUGGCAGAAGGCAAGAGGUGAGAGGGGGUCCAACCUGAUUUUAUAAUAAGCCCACUCUUGUGAUGAGUCUUGCCUGUGACAGCUGCAUGAAUCCAGUCAUGAGGGUAGAACCCUUGUUGGAUAAGGCCCCAAAUGGCUAUAAUUAGGCUCCCUCAGUGAACCUUCCUGUGGGGAUGGUUUCAGUGUGUAACCAAGGUCAUGAACACUCUGAUUCAGUGAAUGUACUCAAGGUCGUAAACAUUUGCUUGUGAGCAUGCACCAACUGAUGUAACAUGUUAGCAGUGUGCCCUCUUUGUCUGACCUGCA